CUGUAAUAUGGUAACAUUGGGGGAAGUUGCGUGAAGUGUAUAUGGGAGGUUGCAGGAGAUGAGAGCGUGCUUUCUUUCUUCAAGUUUGGUAUAGGGACAGUUUUUUUACAAAUGAACGGUUUUUAGUAUUAAUACCGAAUUGCUAGCUUGCUGCUUUUCUCAUUCGAGAAUAACCAUGCUGGUCACAGAGAGCAGGUACAGAGAUGAAACCCAAACACAGCCUCCCUUCUCUCGGCUUGCGUCUAAAAUUUGGUCGAAGCACAAGGACAAAAGCCUGGCUCCAGGCAGCAGGAGUGGGUAUCUCAGACAGUAAUCUCUCAGCUCAGUCAAGUGGGCAGAAACUCUCCAGCUGGCUUCUCAAGAAAAGCGCAUGGGGUACACCGGGGAAGAGAAUCUUGAGAGAGGUACUGAAUAAUUUAUGCGCCAGAUAUACAUCGUAAACGCCUCUAAUCUUCACUAAACCCCUCCUAGCUCGGUAGGAUGAGUUACUUUUUAAGACUUAGGGGUGAGAUAGCCCUCUUAAGAGUAGAGGCACUUUCCCAGCACUAGCUGCCGGGAGCAGAGUUCUAGCUCCUCACCGCCUUCGCUCAGCGCCGCUCCCUCCCUCUGCAGAGGUGCGUCCCCGCUUCUCCUUCAGGCCUGUCCUUCACCCGCCUCCAGCUCCUCGCCCCGGCCGCGCCGCUCCCUCCCUCUGCGCAUAAGCGUUCUCGCCUUCUCCUCCCCGCUCGUCCGUUCCCGGCCUCCAGCUCCUCGCCACUGCCGCGCUGUUUCCUCCCUCUGCGCAUGUGCAUCCCCGCCUUCUCCUCCCCGCUCGACCGUUACCGGCCUCCAGCUCCUCGCCGCCUUCGCGCUGCUCCCUCCCUCUNCCAGCUCCUCGCCGCCUUCGCGCUGCUCCCUCCCUCUGCGCAUGUGCAUCCCCGCCUUCUCCUCCCCGCUCGACCGUUCCCGGCCUCCAGCUCCUCGCCGUGGCCGCGCCGCUCCCUCCCUCUGCGCAUGUGCGUUUCCGCCUUCUCCUCCCCGCUCGAUCGUUACCGGCCUCCAGCUACUCGCCGCCUUCGCGCUGCUCCCUCCCUCUGCGCAUGUGCAUCCCCGCCUUCUCCUCCAGGCUUGUCUUUCCCCGACCUCCAGCCCUUUGUGGGAAACCUUCUCUGGCUUCCGGGUCCACGCGGCGAGGGAGUUACGGAACCUAAAUUGGCAAUAAAUCAAUAAGAAACAAAUGUUUACAUUCACUCAGUGAAAAGUAUCAUGUCUAAGCUCAACAUCUAUCGGAGCCACACAUGGACACGUAAGUAUCUUGUAUGUGGAGCUGUG
ensembl:lncRNA